rnacentral:rRNA from 1 species
UUGAGCCUACGGGGCGCAGCAGUGAGGAAUAUUGGUCAAUGGGCGGAAGCCUGAACCAGCCAAGUCGCGUGAGGGAAUAAGGCCCUACGGGUCGUAAACCUCUUUUGCCGGGGAGCAAGGGCGGGGACGUGUCCCGGCCCGGAGAGUACCCGGAGAAAAAGCAUCGGCUAACUCCGUGCCAGCAGCCGCGGUAAUACGGAGGAUGCGAGCGUUAUCCGGAUUUAUUGGGUUUAAAGGGUGCGCAGGCGGAGGUGCAAGUCAGCGGUCAAAUUGCGGGGCUCAACCCCGUACUGCCGUUGAAACUG